CCUACGGGAGACAGCAGUGAGGAAUAUUGGUCAAUGGGCGAGAGCCUGAACCAGCCAAGUCGCGUGAGGGAGUACUGCCCUAUGGGUUGUCAACCUCUUUUGUCGGGGAGCAAAAUCCGGACGUGUCCGGCUGUUAGAGUACCCGAAGCAACAGCAUCGGCUAACUCCGUGCCAGCAGCCGCGGUAAUACUGAGGAUGCGAGCGUUAUCCUGAUUUAAUGGGUUUAAAGGGUGCGCAGGCGGAGUUUUAAGUCAGCGGUCAAAUCGUGGGGCUCAACCCCAUCCAGCCGUUGAAACUGGGGAUCUAGAGUGUGCGAGAGGUAUGCGGAAUGCGUGGUGUAGCGGUGAAAUGCAUAGAUAUCACGCAGAACCCCGAUUGCGAAGGCAGCAUACCGGUGCACAACUGACGCUCAGGCACGAAAGCGUGGGUAUCGAACAGGAUUAGAUACCCGGGUAGUC
rnacentral:rRNA from 1 species